rnacentral:rRNA from 1 species
GAUGAACGCUGACAGAAUGCUUAACACAUGCAAGUCUUUGGCGAAGCUGUGCUUGCACAGCCUAGCCAAGGCGGACGGGUGAGUAACGCGUAAGGAACUUGCCCUGCAGUCAGGGAUAACAGACGGAAACGACUGAUAAGACCUGGUAAAGUCAGGCGGACUCAUGUCCAGCCUGAUGAAAAGUGAUGCUGCAGGAGAGCCUUGCGUCCUAUUAGCUUGUUGGUGGGGUAACGGCCCACCAAGGCGAUGAUAGGUAGCCGGCCUGAGAGGGUGGACGGCCACAAGGGGACUGAGGUACGGCCCUUACUCCUACGGGAGGCAGCAGUGGGGAAUAUUGGACAAUGGGGGCAACCCUGAUCCAGCAAUUCUGUGUGCACGAUGAAGGUUUUCGGAUUGUAAAGUGCUUUCAGCAGGGAAGAAAAAAAUGACGGUACCUGCAGAAGAAGCGACGGCUAAAUACGUG